rnacentral:rRNA from 1 species
GAUGAACGCUGGCGGCGUGCUUAACACAUGCAAGUCGAACGAAGCAUUUAAGACAGAUUACUUCGGUUUGAAGUCUUUUAUGACUGAGUGGCGGACGGGUGAGUAACGCGUGGGUAACCUGCCUCAUACAGGGGGAUAGCAGCUGGAAACGGCUGGUAAUACCGCAUAAGCGCACAGUACCACAUGGUACAGUGUGAAAAACUCCGGUGGUAUGAGAUGGACCCGCGUCUGAUUAGCUUGUUGGCGGGGUAACGGCCCACCAAGGCGACGAUCAGUAGCCGACCUGAGAGGGUGACCGGCCACAUUGGGACUGAGACACGACCCAGACUCCUACGGGAGGCAGCAGUGGGGAAUAUUGCACAAUGGAGGAAACUCUGAUGCAGCGACGCCGCGUGAGUGAAGAAGUAGUUCGCUAUGUAAAGCUCUAUCAGCAGGGAAGAUAGUGACGGUACCUGACUAAGAAGCUCCGGCUAAAUACGUG